rnacentral:rRNA from 1 species
AUUGAACGCUGGCGGCAGGCUUAACACAUGCAAGUCGGACGGUAACAGGGAGGAAGCUUGCUUUCUUUGCUGACGAGUGGCGGACGGGUGAGUAAUGCUUGGGAAUCUGUUUUAUGGAGGGGGAUAACUACGGGAAACUGUAGCUAAUACCGCGUAAUAUCGAGAGAUUAAAGUGUGGGACCGUAAGGCCACAUGCCAUAGAGUGAGCCCAAGUGGGAUUAGGUAGUUGGUGGGGUAAAGGCCUACCAAGCCGUCGAUCUCUAGCUGGUCUGAGAGGAUGACCAGCCACACUGGGACUGAGACACGGCCCAGACUCCUACGGGAGGCAGCAGUGGGGAAUAUUGCACAAUGGGCGCAAGCCUGAUGCAGCCAUGCCGCGUGAAUGAAGAAGGCCUUCGGGUUGUAAAGUUCUUUCGGUGGUGAGGAAGGUUGUAAUGUUAAUAGCAUUAUAAUUUGACGUUAGCCACAGAAGAAGCACCGGCUAACUCCGUGCCAGCAGCCGCGGUAAUACGGAGGGUGCGAGCGUUAAUCGGAAUAACUGGGCGUAAAGGGCACGCAGGCGGAUACUUAAGUGAGGUGUGAAAGCCCUGGGCUUAACCUAGGAAUUGCAUUUCAUACUGGGUAUCUAGAGUAUUUUAGGGAGGGGUAGAAUUCCACGUGUAGCGGUGAAAUGCGUAGAGAUGUGGAGGAAUACCGAAGGCGAAGGCAGCCCCUUGGGGGAAUACUGACGCUCAUGUGCGAAAGCGUGGGGAGCAACAGG